rnacentral:rRNA from 1 species
UCCUGGCUCAGAUUGAACGCUGGCGGCAGGCUUAACACAUGCAAGUCGAGCGGAAACGAUGGUAGCUUGCUACCAGGCGUCGAGCGGCGGACGGGUGAGUAAUACUUAGGAAUCUACCUAGUAGUGGGGGAUAGCACGGGGAAACUCGUAUUAAUACCGCAUACGACCUACGGGAGAAAGGGGGCAGUUUACUGCUCUCGCUAUUAGAUGAGCCUAAGUCGGAUUAGCUAGAUGGUGGGGUAAAGGCCUACCAUGGCGACGAUCUGUAGCUGGUCUGAGAGGAUGAUCAGCCACACCGGGACUGAGACACGGCCCGGACUCCUACGGGAGGCAGCAGUGGGGAAUAUUGGACAAUGGGGGAAACCCUGAUCCAGCCAUGCCGCGUGUGUGAAGAAGGCCUUUUGGUUGUAAAGCACUUUAAGCAGUGAAGAAGACUCUUCGGUUAAUACCCGGAGACGAUGACAUUAGCUGCAGAAUAAGCACCGGCUAACUCUGUGCCAGCAGCCGCGGUAAU